AUGGACCCUAAAAAGUCCUUUAGACA
rnacentral:tRNA from 1 species